UACGGAGGGUGCAAGCGUUAUCCGGAUUCACUGGGUUUAAAGGGUGCGUAGGUGGGUUGGUAAGUCAGUGGUGAAAUCUCCGGGCUUAACCUGGAAACUGCCAUUGAUACUAUCAAUCUUGAAUACCUUGGAGGUGAGCGGAAUAUGUCAUGUAGCGGUGAAAUGCUUAGAUAUGACAUAGAACACCAAUUGCGAAGGCAGCUCACUACACGAAUAUUGACUCUGAGGCACGAAAGCGUGGGGAUCAAACAGG
rnacentral:rRNA from 1 species